UUAAGGGACAUGUGUGGACCUUGUUGAUGCUUAAGAGAACUCCGUGGUAUACCAUCAAAUGGUGUGGGUGUGUGUAGAAUUAUUCUUAGGUUGGCGUCAAACCCUAUUUAGUGGUAGAAGGCAAAAUCUUGGAGAAAAAAAAAAUCAACUCUGUGGAUCAGCAGGGUUUUACAUACUUUCCUGUAUCAAAUUUUGAUCCCAUUUUGCUUUGUAGUUCUUGCUUUGUAGUUCUUGGUGCUUUGUAUUCUAAUGGGAGGGGGAAUUCUAUUUGAAGGGGAGUGGACACCCACAAGGGGAUUCGAACUGAUGCCAUGGGGUUUGCAAACAACGACCUCAACCACUGAGGUUGAUUUUUUGUUUUCUGGCUGUUAGAAAUAUGAAUGCUAUAUAAUGGCCUAACAUUGAUCACGAUGUGUGAAUAAUUAAAAGAAUAAAAGGAAAAGGAAAACUGAGAGAGGAGAGAGAAAAAGAGGGAGAUUUCAGUCUGCGCAAAAAAGGGACAGGAGAGAGAAGAAAGAAGAAAGACAAGGGCACAUGAUAUAAAGCUUUUCGUAGCUUCCCAUUCAGUUUGAUAUUUGUAUAGUGGCCAAAGUUACCAAAUGUUGUAGAGAAUAUCUUUCCCUUCUUUUCUAAAAUUGAGAUGAGCCAUAUGAAUCUUAUUUGAAUAAUUCGCAGUACAGAAGAACAACUUUUUUCCCUCUUCUUUUGGAGACAAAAUCGUACACUUUUUUUUCUUCCCAUUCAAGUAUAUAGCAAGGCAGGCAAGUGUGAUAUAUUA